GUGUCAGCCGCCGCGGUAAUACAUAGGCUUCAAGCGUUGUCCGGAUUUAUUGGGCGUAAAGAGUUCGUAGGCGGUCGAGUAAGUCGGGUGUGAAAAUUCUGGGCUCAACCCAGAGACGCCACCCGAUACUGCUUAACUUGAGUUCGAUAGGGGAGUGGGGAAUUCCUAGUGUAGCGGUGAAAUGCGCAGAUAUUAGGAGGAACACCGGUGGCGAAGGCGCCACUCUGGAUCGACACUGACGCUGAGGAACGAAAGCAUGGGUAGCAAACAGGAUUAGAUACCCUGGUAGUCCAUGCGGUAAACGGUGGGCACUAGGUGUGGGUUUCUAUUAACGAAAUCCGCGCCGUCGCUAACGCAUUAAGUGCCCCGCCUGGGGAGUACGGUCGCAAGACUAAA
rnacentral:rRNA from 1 species